rnacentral:lncRNA from 1 species
AGGAUUCUAUGGGCCUUGCUGGGCUCUUGCCUUCAAAAACCCAGGCCUCCUAAUUCUCCCCAGAAACAGCUGCAUUGGAGACCCCAAGUCUCGGGAGCACACCCCUGCUUCCUGCCCUGUGACUGCUUUCCUCUCAACCUCAGCGGGUCCCCACCUCUCCGUCAAGUUCAGUCUUGGGAAAAUGCCAGGCAUGAUGGCUCGCACCUGUGGUUUCAGCUGUUCCGGAGGCCAAGGCAGGAUGAUAACUUGAGCCCAGGAGGUCAAGGGGUCAAGGCUGUAGUGAGCCAUGAUCCUGCCACUGCACUCCAACCUGGGGGAUAGAGUGAAAUCCCGUCUCUGAAAAAAUAAAUAAAUACAUACAUAAAAAACAUUUGCUGUCUCAUUUGAAGGUAAAUGGCAGGCAUGUCAACAGACCACUUACAGACCUUAGCAGCGUCUGCUAAGAAUAAAAGCUUUCUCCAAAAUCCCA